rnacentral:rRNA from 1 species
UACAGAGGGGGCAAGCGUUGUUCGGAAUUACUGGGCGUAAAGGGCGCGUAGGCGGCCCGCUAAGUCGAACGUGAAAUCCCUGGGCUCAACCCAGGAACUGCGUCCGAUACUGGCAGGCUUGAAUCCGGGAGAGGGAUGUGGAAUUCCAGGUGUAGCGGUGAAAUGCGUAGAUAUCUGGAGGAACACCGGUGGCGAAGGCGGCUUUCUGGACUGUAACUGACGCUGAGGCAUGAAAGCGUGGGGAGCAAACAGG